AACCUUUACACUGCACGCCAGUGCGAUAAGGGGACUCCAAGUGCGAGGGCAUAUAGUCCUCGCUUUUCUGGACCGUAAGGUGGUCCAGGAACAAGUGCUGGGCAAGACCGGUGCCAGCCGCCGCGGUAAUACCGGCAGCACGAGUGAUGGCCGCUCUUAUUGGGCCUAAAGCGUCCGUAGCUGGCCGAUCAAGUCCGUCGGGAAAUCCGCACGCCUAACGUGCGGGCGUCCGGUGGAAACUGAUCGGCUUGGGACCGGAAGACCAGAGGGGUACGUCCGGGGUAGGAGUGAAAUCCCGUAAUCCUGGACGGACCACCGGUGGCGAAAGCGCCUCUGGAAGACGGAUCCGACGGUGAGGGACGAAAGCUCGGGUCACGAACCGGAUUAGAUACCCGGGUAGUCCGAGCUGUAAACGAUGUUCGCUAGGUGUGGCGCAGGCUACGAGCCUGCGCUGUGCCGUAGGGAAGCCGUGAAGCGAACCGCCUGGGAAGUACGUCUGCAAGGAUGAAACUUAA
rnacentral:rRNA from 1 species